rnacentral:tRNA from 2 species
GCCACCUUAGCUCAGCUGGUAGAGCAACUGAUUUGUAAUCAGUAGGUCGCCAGUUCGAUUCUGGCAGGUGGCUCCA